CCACCAUGCAAGCGUUACAAAUCCGCUGCACACCCACGAAACAGCGGUGGCGGUAGGUGGAAAGUAACAGCCACUCAUCCCUUCCUCAUCGCAAAACGACACAACCACAACCACCUCUGAUUCAUCGUCCUCAAUCCUUUUUCGUCUGGCCGACUCCAUUUUUUUUCGUUAAUUUCUGUGGAAGUUCAUCGGCGAUGGGUCAUAUCAAGAACAUGUACGACAUCAGGCUGAAGCCGCGGCUACUGAGAUCUCUGGUCAAAGACUACCUUCCGGAAGAGUUCCGGCACCCUAUUCCGAGCCCACACGAGCUUUCCUACCUGGUUGAGACUCUCAAGACUUUUCGGCUUCUCUCCGAGGCAUUUCCGGAGGAAUGCAGUUCCGACGUGGUCGAGAACUGGACCGCCGCCGUCGACGAGUGGAUCGAGCGUUUGUUGAUUCUCGUAACCUGCGAAAUGCCUGAUAAAUGCUGGGUAGGAGUCUCCUUGCUUGGGCUGACUUGUCAGGAGUGCAGCUCCUCCCGAUUCUUGUCCUCCUACUCCUUUUGGCUUGAUGAUCUCAUAACGCUUUUAGAUCCAUCAUCAGAAGCUCAGACUUUAAAGGUGGUAUGUUGUAUCUCAAUAUCGGAUCUCUUCACAAGGUUGGGUGGAUAUUCAAAUGCAAAGAAAGAUGGGACAUCCUAUGCUGUGAAACUUGUUCAGCCAGUUUUGAAGCUUUUAAAUGAGGAUACCUCGGAGGCUGUAUUGGAAGCAGCAGCUACUUUGCUAUGCACCAUAUUAACUUUCUUUCCAUCAUCUGUUGAUUGUGAUUAUGAGAUUGCUGAAACUUCUGUCGUUUCACAAAUAAUGUCAUGGAGAAGCAACCUUAAUGUGUUAAGGAGAUGUGCUCAGUGCUUAUCAUUACUUCCAAAGUCAAGAGGAGAUGAGGAAAGCUGGUUGUUAAUGAUUCAAAAAAUAUUAGCAUCAAUAAAUUAUAACCUGAAUGAUGCAUUCCUAGGUCUUGAAGAAGGAAAAGACAUCCCAACUCCCUUAGGAGAGCAGGAAAUGUCAAGAGAAGCAUUUUAUCUGGCAAGGAGAAGAUCUAAGCAAUUGCUACACAUAAUCCCAACACUGAUGCUUAGUUGUUGCAUGAUGCUUGUAAAUCCUUAUCCUGCUCAGGUUUCCGUUCCAAUUAAUUCAUUAUUAGCACUUGUUGAGAGAGUGUUGAAGGUGGAUGGCUCUUUGUCUCAAUCUCCACUGCCAUCCACGGCUGCUAUGCAACAAGAGUUCAUUUGUUCUGAGCUUCCAGCUUUGCACUUAGCCAGUUUAGAUCUCCUUGAAGCAAUCAUAAGAGGAGUUCGCAGUCAACUAUUACCACAUGCUGCUGAAAUCAUUGGACUCUUAAAAGAAUAUUUCAAGAGAUGUGUAUUGCCAGGGCUAAGGGUAAAAAUCUAUAUGAUCGUAAGGAUCUUUCUGCUGACACAAGGAAUAGGUGUAGCAUUGCAUAUUGGUGAGGAAGUUAUCAGCAAUGCAUUUAUUGAUUUGGAUGUUAUUGGGUGUGGAAGUGGGGUAGAAUCAUCUAGUGCACACUCAAAAAUCACUACUGAAGCAUUACCACAACUUAGUUGUAAGAAAAGGAAGCGUGUUGAUGUCACCAGGAAUCUUGAGGAGCAUCCAGAAGGGGUUGGCUUGGAAGUUCAAGUACCUGAAAACAAUUCAACUUCCCCUACUCCUUUGAAGAUUGCUGCACUAGAGGCAUUGGAAACUCUUCUCACUGUGGGUGGUGCUAUGAGAUCCAACUGUCUACAAUCAAACAUUGAACUGCUCCUGAUAAAUGUAGCAACAAAUGCUUUUGAUGGAGAAUUGGACAAUGAAGAAGACAAGAUAUUUGCAGCAAUGUUUCAAUGUAAUUCGGUAGAUCUUCAGAUUGCAGCAUUAAGGGCACUUUUAGCAUGUCUCCUUCUCCCAGUUCGUCUUCGGCCUUGUCAUCUUGCCAAGGGACUUGAGCUUUUCCGCAAAGAGAAAUAUUUGUAGAAGACGAGAGAUGGAAGGAAUACAAGGUAAACAAUUUUUUCCUUAAUAAUUUUCUGUACAUAGACUCACAUAUAUACACAAAAACCCUAACAUCUAAAUUAGGAACUUUCUUAACUCAAUUACAACAAAUCCCUUUGGUCAUAGGAUUGUCUAAUUCUCUCUUCAAAAUCACAACUUCCCUAAUUCUAUUCUUCCACACUCCCCCUUAAGCUGGUGAAUAGAUGUUUUCCAUUCCCAACUUGGAUACAUUUGCUUGAAACUUUGUACUGCUUAAACCUUUUAUGAAUAUAUUUGCAAAUUGACGGUCAAGAGAUACAUAAGGAGUACAAAUUAAUCCACCAUCUAAUUUCUCCUUGAUUUGUCUAUCAAUUUCUGUGUUUCAGUCGAUCGUGUUGUACUAUAUUAUGUGCAAUACUAAUUGCAGAUUUAUUGUCGUGGUAAAAUCUCAUUGGCCCAUCCCAUUUAAUCUUCAAAUCCUCUAAAAUAAUCUUCAACCAUAGUGGUUCACAAACUCUGUAGGCCAUUGCUUGAAAUUUUGCUUCUGCAUUGGACUUUGCUACCAAACUCUAUUUCUUACUUCUCCAUGUCACUAGAUUCCCACUAAGAAAGGUUCAACACCUAGUAGUUGAUCUUCUAUCAACCACAGAUCUAGCAUAAUCUACAUCUAUGUAUGCUUCAAGUACUAGUCCCAAGCUUCAUUUAAAUAGGCGGUGCAAAACAAUGGUGGCCUUCGACUACUAUCGUGAUGGGUUCAUGAUCUAUACCUGCAAUAACAGUCGUGAGAAUGGUAGUGAGAGGCUGAGACGAUCCCAAUGAAGAUGGCGACACAACUUUUCCCGCAGUGGCGUGAAAACAAUGCAAGAGGAAAAUGACUACAACUUGAGAAGAAGAUAAUGAUAGUGCGAGGUGGAGAGGAGGCAUGAGGAUGAGAUGUUUGCGGUGCGCUUUGUGCUUCCAAUUGUAGGGCGAUUCAGAAAGCACAAUGGCAAGUGGCGACUGUGUACUAACUGUGCUAUCUUUGUGAUGAGUUCAUGAUUUGGGGCUUUUUGUUCCUUUCGUGAUGAGUUCGUGAUCUUGACGAGAGUGACAAUCCCAACAACAAUCGUGUGAUUCGGACGAGUGAGACACCCUUAAAGGUCAACAAUGAAGGUCAUAUUUUGAUCAUCAAACUUGGCAAUGAAGGCCGAGAAUGGUCUCUCCUUGAUUCCCAGGUUUAUGAGCCUAAGGCUAUGAUAUCAUGUAGAAGACGAGAGAUGGAAGGAAUACAAGGGAAACGUGAAAGAGAAACAAGGCUUGCUGCAUUCUGUGCCCAUGCCCUGUUGGCCUUAGAAAAUCGUGGACAGACAGGGUUCUUUUCCAUCACUGAAAUUGCCUAUGCAGAAC